rnacentral:rRNA from 1 species
CUACGGAGGGUGCAAGCGUUACUCGGAAUCACUGGGCGUAAAGCGCGCGCAGGCGGUCUUUUAAGUUGGAUGUGAAAGCCUACGGCUCAACCGUAGAACUGCAUCCAAAACUAUUAGACUAGAGUGUGGGAGAGGAAGAUGGAAUUAGUUGUGUAGGGGUAAAAUCCGUAGAGAUAACUAGGAAUACCAAAAGCGAAGGCAAUCUCCUGGAACACUACUGACGCUGAGGCGCGAAAGCGUGGGGAGCAAACAGGAUUAGAUACCCUAGUAGUCC